rnacentral:rRNA from 1 species
AGGACGAACGCUGGCGGCGUGCUUAACACAUGCAAGUCGAGCGGAAAGGCCCUUCGGGGUACUCGAGCGGCGAACGGGUGAGUAACACGUGAGCAACCUGCCCCUAGCUCUGGGAUAGCUCCGGGAAACCGGGAUUAAUACCAGAUACGACCACUUUAGACAUCUGCUGUGGUGGAAAGGAUUCCGGCUAGGGAUGGGCUCGCGGCCUAUCAGCUUGUUGGUGGAGUAACGGCCCACCAAGGCGACGACGGGUA